UCCUUUGUAGUUUAAAUAAAGAACAUUGAUUUUGUAAAUCAAAAGAAUUUUUAAGGAU
rnacentral:tRNA from 1 species